GCCUACUCUAACAAGACUAGUGCAGAGUUUUUCUAUAAAUCAAACUUAAUAUCAAGAGCACACUGCUUCAAGGAAUAAAGCGAGGAAAUAUGAAGGAAAAGAAAACUGCUGAAACAGGAUUGAAGUUCCUGAUCGUGUUGUUUUCUGUUGGUGUAUCUAAAAUGUUAUAUCUUUGUUUAUAUCCCCAGCACAUAGGACAGUAUGAAGCACAUGGAACCCAAGAACACUUGUCAUCCAGGAACACACAUCGUGGAAGAAACAGAUGAAUGCAAGAUGCCUUGAGUGUUCACUGUUAAUUAUGAAGAAGUACUAAUAGAUGAUGUUUUGACUGGUGGGAGCAAGUUGAAGGCUGCUGACAGCAAUGAAGAAAAUUAUUUUUUUGGAAGAUGAGAAAGCCAUGGGAGAUGGGAAGAGCUGGAUG
rnacentral:lncRNA from 10 species